rnacentral:snoRNA from 1 species
GUUGAGGUCUGUACUGGUGGUGUUUCCCCGGCUGCACAUCCUUGGAACUACUUCAGAGUAACUCUGUGAUUUUGCUUUACUCACAAAAAUACUUUUUAGGUCUGUGGGGAAAGACUACAUAAACACGU